GCGUUUGUGGUCUAAUGGUUAGCACGGAUGCCUUCCAAGCAUUGGACGGGGGUUCGAUUCCACCCAAGCGCA